GAGGGGUGCAAGCGUUAUUCGGAAUUAUUGGGCGUAAAGGGUGCGCAGGCGGCACAUUAAGUCAACUGUUUAAUCUCCCGGCCUAACUGGGAGUCAGCGGUAGAAACUGAUGUGCUUGAGUAUGGAAGAGAGAAGUGGAAUUCUCGGAGUAGCGGUAAAAUGCGUAGAUCUCGAGAGGAACACCGAUGGCGAAGGCAGCUUCUUGGUCCAUUACUGACGCUCAUGCACGAAAGCGUGGGGGGAGCAAACAGGAUUAGAUACCCUGGUAGUCCACGCCCGUAAACGAUGAUCACUAGACGUUAGUCUCGCUUUGCGGGGCUAGUGUCGUAGCUAGCGCGUUAAGUGAUCCGCCUGGGGAGUACGGUCGCAAGAUUA
rnacentral:rRNA from 1 species